rnacentral:rRNA from 1 species
UAGAGUUUGAUCCUGGCUCAGAUUGAACGCUGGCGGCAGGCUUAACACAUGCAAGUCGAGCGGUAGCACAGGGGAGCUUGCUCCCUGGGUGACGAGCGGCGGACGGGUGAGUAAUGUCUGGGAAACUGCCUGAUGGAGGGGGAUAACUACUGGAAACGGUAGCUAAUACCGCAUAACGUCGCAAGACCAAAGAGGGGGACCUUCGGGCCUCUUGCCAUCAGAUGUGCCCAGAUGGGAUUAGCUAGUAGGUGGGGUAAUGGCUCACCUAGGCGACGAUCCCUAGCUGGUCUGAGAGGAUGACCAGCCACACUGGAACUGAGACACGGUCCAGACUCCUACGGGAGGCAGCAGUGGGGAAUAUUGCACAAUGGGCGCAAGCCUGAUGCAGCCAUGCCGCGUGUGUGAAGAAGGCCUUCGGGUUGUAAAGCACUUUCAGCGAGGAGGAAGGUGGUGAACUUAAUACGUUCAUCAAGUGACGUUACUCGCAGAAGAAGCACCGGCUAACUCCGUGCCAGCAGCCGCGGUAAUACGGAGGGUGCAAGCGUUAAUCGGAAUUACUGGGCGUAAAGCGCACGCAGGCGGUUUGUUAAGUCAGAUGUGAAAUCCCCGGGCUCAACCUGGAACUGCAUUUGAAACUGGCAAGCUAGAGUCUCGUAAGGGGGGUAGAAUUCCAGGUGUAGCGGUGAAUGCGUAAGAUCUGGAGGAUACGGUGGCGAGCGGCCCCUGACGAAACUGACGCUCAGUGCGAAAGUGGGAGCAAAGGAUAAAUCCUGUAUCCGCUGAACAUGUCAUUGAGUUGGCCCUGA